CUGAGAGCCUAUGGGAGCCGUAGGAAGUGUCACGUUACAGCAAAGAUCCUCAGUUUUCAAUAAAGAGAGUCAAGAAGAACAAGAACUUGUCAGACAGGCCACUUCCUGUAAGGAAUCUUCUCAGGUUUUUGCCUGCCAUAUGAGUUCUGUUAUACUCACAGACACCAUUCAAACAGUUUUAGAAACUUUAGGGUGUUUUCUAUCCAAAGCCAAUAAUUAUACGCAUAUUCUAGUUUCUGGGCAGUAGUAAUAACCAGAUUAAAUCGGGUACGUUUUUUAUCCGGCCGUGUAAAUACUGCCCCCUAGCCCUAACAGGAUAACAAAGUAUUGAGAUAAACUUUUGUUAUUGACCAAAUACUUAUUUUCCACCAUAAUUUGCAAAUAUAUUCAUAAAAAAUCCUACAAUGUGAUUUUCUGGAUUUUUUUUUCUCAUUUUGUCUAUCAUAGUUGACGUGUACCUAUGAUGAAAAUUACAGGCCUCUCUCAUCUUUUUAAGUGGGAGAACUUGCACAAUUGGUGGCUGACUAAAUACUUUUUUGCCCCACUGUAUAUUAUUAUAAUAAUAUAUAUAUUUUAUAUAUGUAUAAAAUAAUGUAUCUUUCGUCUCUCUGUUUUCGGAGAAAUAUUCUGAGCGAGGGAAACAGCGCCCCUCUGUCUCAGUAUGUGUAGCCCAUGUGUCUGAUGCUGUCUGGACCAAAAGAGUAUGACAUGUUACCGCCAUAGCGUUUGAUUGAUUUCAACAAGCAUUUGGCCUCCCUUGAUUAAAAAAAGUAUAACAUAUUUAGCCAAUCAGCAUUGAGCUGAGCUCAACUGUGGGUUGUACUGCUGCGCAAAACGCCUCCAAGGGAGGCCAGUUUGGAUUUGGCUUCACACCAAUCAAAUCUCAUCCUGAGCAAAACUUCACUGUCAGAAAAGUGUGUCUGUUUCUGGUCUGCUUGUGUUGAUGUCCUGCAGUAGCUAGCUUGCUAAAUCGGCCCUUUCCCAAGCCAUGGAUGGGGAUGGGAAUUUGGACUUGUGAUUUUGAUGCCGAUUCUCUCUACAGGCCAAUGGUUAUGACGGCAAUUCCGAUCUAACCAUAGAUCCAUAUAUUGUGCCACUGGCCUGAGACGAUUGAAGUUCAAUAUGUAGCCUUGAUGGAGCCUAGUAGGCUCACGUUAACUAGCAGGCUCAUGUUAACUAGUUAGCUAACUUAGCUGGUUCAUUGCUACCCAUGCGAGGAAGUUAGGCUAGCAAGCAUUUUAGCUAGGUAGCCUAUGAAAACAAAAACUAAAAGAGUACAAAAUCAUAGAUCGUUCUGCCAACAUGAAAGAGAGGAGGACGGCAUUGGCAUUCAACUAAUCUAUAAGUAGAGUGAGUCCCCACGCAAGCGCACACACACACACACAGACAGAAAUCAGUACCAUGGACAGCCACAUGAUAUUAAGCAACAUUGAUUGGACAAUUUUUUUUUCGGCAUCUGUGUUUGUUUUCAAUGUAUUAAACUAAGCAUAUAUAGCCUUGUUGAUUUGAUUAUGUUUAAAUGUUUAAUAUGGAAUGGUGCUGGAAUAGAGGCAGUGCUAACGUUGUCUUUGUGCUGACAUGCAGUAACUCAAAAUCAGUAGUUGUUUAGUAUACUGUGGAAACAUUAACCCGCUUGACCAUGCUGCAGGUCAUAUAACUGGUUGUUACAUGCAAUAUUUACUUUGUGAACUUCACCAGACAGAUGUUGCUCUCAGGUUUUGUGAUGAAACAAACAUAUGUGUAGUUGAAUUUAUUCUGCCACUAUGUGACUGUUGUCUUUUUGUUGUCACAGCCUUAUUGUAAAUCACGGUGGUGUAUGAACGAAUGGGUUAUAGAGCAAACAAUUCAAUUAUCGCAUCAUAGGUUUACCCCUACCUACAUGUACAAAUGACCUCGGCUAACCUGUACCCCCGCAGAUUGACUCAGUACUGGUACCCCCUGUAUAUAGCCUCGUUAUUGUUAUUUUAUUGUGUUACUUUUUAUUGUAUUUUUUACUUUAGUUUAUUUAGUAAAUAUUUUCUUAACUUUAUUUCUCGAACUGUGGAUUAAGGGCUUGUAAGUAAGCAUUUCACAGUAAGGUGUAAUACCUGUUAUAUUCAAUGAGUGACAAAUAACAUUUGAUUUGAAUAUAGCUUUUUUACUGGCUUGGCUUCCCCAGUGAUUUUUACCCACACAGCGCUACUGCUAGUCUUUCAAGUCCAACGUUUGAAAUGAUACAGCCUGUUUUGUCAAUAAACAGCAGCACUGCAUUCCUGC
rnacentral:lncRNA from 1 species